GGUUAAGUUAGAAAGGGCGCACGGUGGAUGCCUUGGCACUAGGAGCCGAAGAAGGACGGGACUAACACCGAUAUGCUUUGGGGAGCUGUACGUAAGCGUUGAUCCAGAGAUUUCCGAAUGGGGGAACCCACUAUCUUUAGUCGGAUAGUAUCCUUACGUGAAUACAUAGCGUGAGGAAGGCAGACCCAGGGAACUGAAACAUCUAAGUACCUGGAGGAAGAGAAAGAAAAAUCGAUUUCCUGAGUAGCGGCGAGCGAAACGGAAAGAGCCCAAACCAAGAAGCUUGCUUCUUGGGGUUGUAGGACACUCUAUACGGAGUUACAAAAGAAAGUUAUAAAUGAAGCGGUCUGGAAAGGCCCGCCAAAGACGGUAACAGCCCGGUAGUUGAAAUGGCUUUCCCUCCAGAGUGGAUCCUGAGUACGGCGGAACACGUGAAAUUCCGUCGGAAUCCGGGAGGACCAUCUCCCAAGGCUAAAUACUCCCUAGUGACCGAUAGUGAACCAGUACCGUGAGGGAAAGGUGAAAAGCACCCCGGAAGGGGAGUGAAACAGUUCCUGAAACCGUGUGCCUACAAGUAGUUAGAGCCCGUUAAUGGGUGAUAGCGUGCCUUUUGUAGAAUGAACCGGCGAGUUACGAUUUGUUGCAAGGUUAAGCGGAAAAAGCGGAGCCGUAGCGAAAGCGAGUCUGAAUAGGGCGCAUAAGUAACAGGUCGUAGACCCGAAACCAGGUGAUCUACCCAUGUCCAGGAUGAAGGUAAGGUAAUACUUACUGGAGGUCCGAACCCACGCACGUUGAAAAGUGCGGGGAUGAGGUGUGGGUAGCGGAGAAAUUCCAAUCGAACUUGGAGAUAGCUGGUUCUCUCCGAAAUAGCUUUAGGGCUAGCCUCGAGGUAAAGAGUCAUGGAGGUAGAGCACUGUUUGGACUAGGGGCCCUUCUCGGGUUACCGAAUUCAGAUAAACUCCGAAUGCCAUGUACUUAUACUCGGGAGUCAGACUGCGAGUGAUAAGAUCCGUAGUCGAAAGGGAAACAGCCCAGACCACCAGUUAAGGUCCCCAAAUAUAUGUUAAGUGGAAAAGGAUGUGGGGUUGCUUAGACAACCAGGAUGUUGGCUUAGAAGCAGCCACCAUUGAAAGAGUGCGUAAUAGCUCACUGGUCGAGUGACCCCGCGCCGAAAAUGUACCGGGGCUAAACAUAUUACCGAAACUGUGGAUGAACCUCUUUAGAGGUUCGUGGUAGGAGAGCGUUCU
rnacentral:rRNA from 1 species